GCACCGUGUGACAGAAGAAGGUUCACCAUGUUCACGUUUUCCAGUUCACACGCUGUAAAGACAGAGAACUCAGCAUUUCACACACACACCCGCAUGUCGGGGUCGGCGCCUGACUCCAGAAGCGACUGGACGCAGGGCAGCUGUUCACAGGACACGGCCAGCAGCAACGCAGUCUGCUCCUGCAGCGUCCGCUUGUCCACUGAGCCUGGAUGGGCUGCAGCAGAAAGAAAAACACCCACAAAGCAACUAGUGUUGAGGCACCCAGUCUGGCCAGAAUAGGCAGCAUCAUGCAGAGGAAGCCACCCGUCUUUGUUUUCCUUCAGCAGGCUGUGGGAGGAAGAUGCUGCCAGAUCCUUCAGAGUUUCCACAUCUCCGCGCCUCACGGCAGAAAACACCGGGUCAGCAUCCCUAAAGGAUUAUAAACACCAGAAAAUUAGGAUUACAGAUGUAAAAUAAAACAACAUCCUUCA